rnacentral:rRNA from 1 species
GACGAACGCUGGCGGCGUGCCUAAUACAUGCAAGUAGAACGCUGAAGGAGGAGCUUGCUUCUCUGGAUGAGUUACGAACGGGUGAGUAACGCGUAGGUAACCUGCCUGGUAGCGGGGGAUAACUAUUGGAAACGAUAGCUAAUACCGCAUAAUAGUAGAUGUCGCAUGACAUUUGCUUAAAAGGUGCAAUUGCAUCACUACCAGAUGGACCUGCGUUGUAUUAGCUAGUUGGUGAGGUAACGGCUCACCAAGGCAACGAUACAUAGCCGACCUGAGAGGGUGAUCGGCCACACUGGGACUGAGACACGGCCCAGACUCCUACGGGAGGCAGCAGUAGGGAAUCUUCGGCAAUGGACGGAAGUCUGACCGAGCAACGCCGCGUGAGUGAAGAAGGUUUUCGGAUCGUAAAGCUCUGUUGUAAGAGAAGAACGAGUGUGAGAGUGGAAAGUUCACACUGUGACGGUAUCUUACCAGAAAGGGACGGCUAACUACGUG